rnacentral:lncRNA from 1 species
AGAUCAGCACUGUAAGUUGAUCUCACCGAACCACCUCUAAGUUUCAUCUUCUCCGAACCAUUCCUUUCCAUUUGGCCGAUCAAAACCCCGAAUCCUUCCCUUCCAUCGAUUCAAUCGGUGAAACCUCUCGUUUCACCGUUCAAAUAGUUUUUCCUCCGAUUAUUUCGAACUUCCACCGAUUAAAUCCUCUUCUUCCAUGAACCCUAGCCUUUUUCACCGGUCAAACCAUACAAACCUAGGGUUUUGUUCUUCCGCUGCAUCUUUCGUCAGAUUCUGAGCUCGAUCCGCA